AAACUCCCACCAGCUAUCAAAUGAAGGCGUCGGGGGAGAAUAUAUACAGUCUACAGAACUCGGGAGAGUUAAAGAGUAGCAAGUUCCAAUCAAGAAGAAAUGUUUUAUUCAGUAAUUACUUUGAAGAAUUUUUUUAAGAGCCCCUGAAAAUACUGGAUUUCUGCAGGGGAUAUUGCGAAAAUACUAAAAUACUAAGGCAAGGGCAGUGACUGGAAGCUGGGAGAGAGGGUCAACAGCUGAAUCUC
ensembl:lncRNA SLC8A1-AS1 SLC8A1 antisense RNA 1